rnacentral:rRNA from 1 species
GACGAACGCUGGCGGCGUGCCUAACACAUGCAAGUCGAACGGAAAGGCCCUGCUUUUGUGGGGUGCUCGAGUGGCGAACGGGUGAGUAACACGUGAGUAACCUGCCCCUGACUUUGGGAUAACUUCAGGAAACUGGGGCGAAUACCGGAUAGGAGCUCCUGCUGCACGGUGGGGGUUGGAAAGUUUCGGCUGUUGGGGAUGGACUCGCGGCUUACGAGCUUGUUGGUGGGGUAGUGGCUUACCAAGGCUUCGACGGGUAGCCGGCCUUAGAGGGUGGCCGGCCACCAUGGGCCUGAGGUACGGCCCAGAAUCCUACGGGAGGCAGCGGUGGGGAAUAUUGCGCAACAGGCGGACGCGUGAUGCAGCAACGCCGCGUGCGUGAUGCCGGCCUUCGGGUUGUAAACCGCUUUCGCCUGUGACGAAGAGUGAGUGACGGUACCGGGUAAAGAAGCACCGGCUAACUACGUG